CAAUAAGCAUGCAGGAAGCCAUCCACUCCUGGACCAUGGUGUUUUGGAAAUUCUGAUUUAGUCCUCUGGCAUAGUCUGGCAGGUGGUAAUGGCAGCUUACACCGGGACUCUUGCUUGGUCAUGUGAAUUACUUUGGUCAAUGAGACAUGAACAAAUAUGAUACAAGCAGAGGCUUUAAAAGACUUGCAUAUUGGAGCUUGCCCUCAUUUUCUGCACUUGGAAUUCUGCAAUUGCCAUCAUGUGAACAAGCCCUGGCUAGCCUCCUGGAUGAUUAUAGCCAAAUCACCUCCAUCACUCAAGGUGACACUGAGUCAACUGCCUGAAGCCAUCCUAGACCAUCCAGCUUCAGCUGAAACAGCCCAGAAGAAGAAUCAUAUGAAAUAAUAAAUUAUUGUUGUUUGAAAACUACUAACCGUUAGAGUGGUUUCUGACUCAUCAGAAACUAACAUAUAUUAUGUUCUUCAUGGCAAUAAGGUGAAAGAAAAGAUGCAUAAUUUCUUUAAGCCAAAAUUCGAAAGCAACUUAAUUCAUUGAAAGAUUUACUUUGUUCCCCUUCCUGUGUCCAUGUGUUCUCAUUGUUCAAUUCCC
rnacentral:lncRNA from 10 species